UACGUAGGGGGCUAGCGUUGUCCGGAAUCAUUGGGCGUAAAGCGCGUGUAGGCGGUCCGCCAAGUCGCCCUUGAAAGCCCCCUGCUCAACGGGGGGAGGGGGGGGGCGAAACGGGCGGACUCGGUGGAGUCUGGUAGGGGGAGGCGGAACGGCCGGUGGAGCGGUGAAAUGCGUAGAGAUCGGCCAGAACACCAGUGGCGCAGGCGGCCUCCUGGGCCCGAGGACUGACGCUGAGACGCGACAGCGUGGGGAGCGAACGGA
rnacentral:rRNA from 1 species